rnacentral:rRNA from 1 species
GACGAACGCUGGCGGCGUGCUUAACACAUGCAAGUCGAACGGUAAGGCCCUUCGGGGUACACGAGUGGCGAACGGGUGAGUAACACGUGGGUGAUCUGCCCUGCACUUCGGGAUAAGCCUGGGAAACUGGGUCUAAUACCGGAUAGGACUCCGGACUGCAUGGUCUGGGGUGGAAAGCUUUUGCGGUGUGGGAUGGGCCCGCGGCCUAUCAGCUUGUUGGUGGGGUGAUGGCCUACCAAGGCGACGACGGGUAGCCGGCCUGAGAGGGUGACCGGCCACACUGGGACUGGGAUACGGCCCAGACUCCUACGGGAGGCAGCGGUGGGGAAUAUUGCACAAUGGGCGCAAGCCUGAUGCAGCGACGCCGCGUGAGGGAUGACGGCCUUCGGGUUGUAAACCUCUUUCAGCAUCGACGAAGCGAAAGUGACGGUAGGUGCAGAAGAAGGACCGGCCAACUACGUGCCAGCAGCCGCCGUAA